rnacentral:rRNA from 1 species
AACGAACGCUGGCGGCGUGCUUAACACAUGCAAGUCGAACGGGAUCCGGAGCUUGCUCCGGUGAGAGUGGCGCACGGGUGAGUAACGCGUGGAUAACCUGCCCUGGUAUCUGGAAUAACAUCUCGAAAGGGGUGCUAAUACCGGAUAAGCUUACGGAGUCUUUGGGCUCUGUGAGAAAAGGUGGCCUCUGAAUAUGCUACCGUAUCAGGGUGGGUCCGCGUACCAUUAGCUAGUUGGUGGGGUAAUGGCCCACCAAGGCGACGAUGGUUAGCUGGUCUGAGAGGAUGAUCAGCCACACUGGAACUGAGACACGGUCCAGACUCCUACGGGAGGCAGCAGUGGGGAAUUUUGCGCAAUGGGGGAAACCCUGACGCAGCAACGCCGCGUGAGUGAUGAAGGCCUUCGGGUCGUAAAGCUCUGUCAGUAGGGAAGAAAUGAUGUCCGGUUAAUACCCGGGCUUCUUGACGGUACCUGCAAAGGAAGCACCGGCUAAUUCCGUGCCAGCAGCCGCGGUAAUACGGAGGGUGCAAGCGUUGUUCGGAUUUAUUGGGCGUAAAGCGCGUGUAGGCGGUUUCUUAAGUCUGAUGUGAAAGCCCCGGGCUCAACCCGGGAAGUGCAUUGGAUACUGGGGGACUUGAAUACGGGAGAGGGUAGUGGAAUUCCUAGUGUAGGAGUGAAAUCCGUAGAUAUUAGGAGGAACACCGGUGGCGAAGGCGGCUACCUGGACCGAUAUUGACGCUGAGACGCGAAAGCGUGGGGAGCAAACAGGAUUAGAUACCCUGGUAGUCCACGCCGUAAACGAUGAGAACUAGGUGUUGCGGGUAUUGACCCCUGCAGUGCCGCAGCUAACGCAUUAAGUUCUCCGCCUGGGAAGUACGGUCGCAAGACUA